rnacentral:rRNA from 1 species
UACGUAGGGGGCAAGCGUUGUCCGGAUUUACUGGGCGUAAAGAGCGUGUAGGCGGCCAAGCAGGUCCGUUGUGAAAACUGGAGGCUUAACCUCCAGACGUCGACGGAAACCGCGUGGCUAGAGUCCGGAAGAGGAGAGUGGAAUUCCUGGUGUAGCGGUGAAAUACGCAGAUAUCAGGAAGAACACCAAUGGCGAAGGCAGCUCUCUGGGACGGUACUGACGCUGAGACGCGAAAGCGUGGGGAGCGAACAGG